rnacentral:rRNA from 1 species
GAUGAACGCUGGCGGCGUGCCUAAUACAUGCAAGUCGUGCGGCAGCGAGCCCUUCGGGGUGUCGGCGAGCGGCGGACGGCUGAGUAACACGUAGGAACAUACCCCAAAGUGAGGGAUAACUGCUCGAAAGAGUAGCUAAUACCGCAUGUGGUCUAAGGAUUAAAGCUUCGGCGCUUUGGGAAUGGCCUGCGUUCGAUUAGCUCGAUGGUGAGGUAAAAGCUCACCAUGGCGACGAUCGAUAGCUGGUCUGAGAGGAUGAUCAGCCAGACUGGGGCUGAGACACGGCCCAGACUCCUACGGGAGGCAGCAGUAGGGAAUUUUCCACAAUGGGCGAAAGCCUGAUGGAGCAACGCCGCGUGCAGGAUGAAGGCCUUCGGGUUGUAAACUGCUUUUAUAUGUGACGAUUAUGACGGUAGCAUAUGAAUAAGGAUCGGCUAACUCCGUGCCAGCAGCCGCGGUAA